GGGAUGUAUAUGUAAAAAUCCCAAUUAAAUAUUCAGUUUAUAUGCGGGUGAACAGGGGUCUAAACCAACAACAAAUCCAAUUGCUUACAUUGGGGCAUUUACCAUUUCAGCCGCAAAGUGAGUAGUUAGGCUCACGUGAAGCCCAAACCACACCAUAGCACAUAGAAUGACUUCUAAUAGUUGGGCCAAAGACAUAGCACAGUUUCUAUAUCAGUAAAUGGAUCCAAACUACAUUUUCAUUGAAAGAAAGACUUCGUAGAUCAACAUGAUUAUUAAUAAAAUUAUAGCUUUAAACAGGAACAUUCAUGAUGCUAAAUUUAUUUAAUGCAACUCUUAAACUACAUCCAUUUUGACAUAAUGAUAUUAACUCUUGAUAUCUAGCAAAGGACACCACAGUAACCAGGAUUCCCAAAGUAAAGAAAAGCAUUUCCUAAUAUAAAUAUGCCCCACAAGACUAUUCUGAUUACAUGCUUGGGUAUUAAUUUAAUGAAUUCAACACAGUCCAUAAAUACAAACAUUGGUUCUUACCACUUGGACGAAUACGAAACAAAAGCAUGUAGCUUAGCCUGAAUUUCUAUUGUACACAGAUGUCACAAUCCAUUUGAACUAUAGUUCGAUUCACCCUUUUCUCAGUUCUCAUAUUAACAAAAUCCAGAAAUUAGCACUACUAUCUACUUAUAUCUCAAGAAAUAUACCAACAUUCUCAACAAAUUAGUCCAUCUUCACAAUGCACUAUUAAUAAGGGAAGGCCUGAACUAAACAUGCAUUUCCUAGGGGGAAUACAUAUAGUAUACUAUAGAUAUGAAGGAAUCAGACAACAUAAGUUCAAAUUAGCUUGUAUAUAAUUUGAUUUCUUUUCGAACUACACAUCCACAUUAGCUCAUUGUUCAAGAGUUAGAGAGGUACCUGGAAUUCAAACGAAAAACAAAAAUAAAUGAAGAGUCAGCAAAAAACAGCAAAAGAAGCAGAGCCCAGAUUCAGUAAUUUCAGUAGUAAAAUAGUACAAAAUUAGCACAAUCGAAGUUUCAACCCAAUUCUGAUGUUUAAAACCCAAAAUGCACCCUUUCUAACGAAUCUCUUAAAAUUUGAUUUUUCAAAAGGGAAUUAGGACGUGAAACCCAUUAGAAACUUAACAAUUUUUCAGUACUUUUUUGAAAGAAAGAUACCAGCUGAUUUUGAAUUUCUUAGGACUUUUUAUCUCUUCAUUUCUCUACCUUCAUUGACAACUAAAGGUGAUUUUAUAGGAAAGGCAUUAGGUCAGCCUAAAAGUGUUCAAUUUUGCAAUUAGACCCUUUUCGAAUUUUGGUUUUUUCUUAGAAAUCGUUAGGUUAACAUUUAGAAAUUCAGCAUAGUCCCGACCCCAGCAUCCUAGAAACUUCCUCAGCUUGUUACAUAAGAUUCCUGUAGCCCAAAUUCCUUUACUACUAUUACAACCCAUAUCCACACGUGUUAUUUCAUUCCAUAAGUUAGUUAACAUAAAUCCAAGAAGGAAUUAUCCUUGAGAUAAUAAGAAGUUCAUCCUAUUGAUCAUAAGUGAUACAAGGGUGUAUAUGGGUGAUUAACAAGUAUUAGAAGUUAAGCGAAUCAAGGAUGUUGUAACUCGUAUUUUCCGGUAAAUCUAGAGGUUCUUAAUACACUCAAAAGGUCAUGUAUUAAGGUUUUGAAUCAUAUAAUAUCCAUAUCAUAAGUCUUGAAGUCAAACGAGUUAUGAAACAAAGGAUGACAAAAGUUGUNNNNNNNNNNNNNNNNNNNNNNNNNNNNNNNNNNNAAGUGAUACAAGGGUGUAUAUGGGUGAUUAACAAGUAUUAGAAGUUAAGCGAAUCAAGGAUGUUGUAACUCGUAUUUUUAGGUAAAUCUAGAGGUUCUUAAUAUGCUCAAAAGGUCAUGUAUUAAGGUAUUUGAAUCAUAUAAUAUCCAUAUCAUAAGUCUUGAAUAUAAAAAAAAGGAUGACAAAAGUUGUCGCAAUUUAGGUUCAUAAUUUUACUUAAACGUUAAGUCAAAUGUUUCUAAGAUUUUCUCCUAAUUUAGAAAGAACUACGGGGUGACUCACCAAAUAAAUGAUCUAUGAGUGUAGUUUCCAACGCAUUAAACGGUUUGUCAAUAUGAUCUCGGAGUAUAGAGAUAUUCAUAUUUUUUGCAAGCCUGCGCAGAUGGGUAGAUGACAUGUAGGUGCAUCACCUACUUGCCAAAAUAAUAGGCCAAAAUUAAAGACCUAAGUCGGACAAGAGAGGACUUUUAAGGGGUUAUGAACUCAGUUAUUUAACCCAUAUUUCAGACCCUCAAAACCAAAGUUAACCCCUGAAUCUCCUUCCCAAAAAUCCCAUACAAACCCUAAUCGAUUUUUCCUCUCUUUCAACUAGUAAGUUAAGUUAAUUCCAUAUUUCAUACAUUUUUCUAUGUUGUGAAAUCAUGGUAAUUCGUUCUAUACAUGUAAGAACUCACGGGAUGGUAAUCGGAAGCCGUGAGUUCGAGUUAUUCACUUGUAGCGGACUUUUUUGUGUUGAUGUUGGUCUGCGUGUUUUACUACUGUUUUGUGGAUUUUUGGAGGUGCAAGGGUGUGGAGAAACACCAUAUAUAUGUAGGGUUGUGGGCUGAUAGUUAUUCGUAAUAUUUCCGGGGUUUUUUGACACGACUACGGUGGUCGUCGUAUGUAUGAAGUAAUUAGGUUCUGCGUGGACUAUUUUGGGAGGCUUAAUAUUUUUAUUAUUGAUGUUGUUGUGCUGUUUGGUGAUUGUUUUGAAGGGUGUGAAGUCAUAUAUAUAAGGGAGGUGUUGUGCAUUUCAUCGUCAAAUAGGUUGUGGUCGGUACAUAAUGGUUAUAAUGCUUAAAUGAUAAUGAUAGUAUCACAUCUCUUGUUAUAGACUAAGGAGUUGUGACAAUUGCAUAGCUUGAGAAUAGGGCAGUAUAUACAAGGUAUAUGAGGCUAUCGCUUUCCUUCUUUUGCGCGACUCCGAUUGUACAUAAUGUAAUAAACGAGCUUCCAAAUAUACUCUACUCUUAGAAGCUAGCAGUACUUACAUUGUUUCCCUCUUAUGGGACGGUUGAUGUAAAUGUUACUUCUCUUAUUCUUAAUUUUAUCAAUGCUAUUGGUACUUACUGAUUCUUAUAAGGUUCAUAGUGAAGAGUUAGUACUAAUAACGUGUACAAAUGAUACCGACCUUACGUCACUCCGAAAGUUCUAGAACGUGUUUCCAUGAGUCGAGCAUGCAUCAUAUAUAUAUAUAUAUAUAUAUUUUAAUUUACCGAGUAGCACUAAAACCUGAUGUGCAACUACGGAUUAGUUGGGUUUUACCGAGCUCCACGUGGCCGGGUACGAUUUUACCGAGCCUCAUGAUGGACGUGUACGUUUUUACCGAGCCUAUUAAGACCGGGUACGAUAUGAGGAUGAUGAUGCCCACAGAGGCAUAUGUUUCAAAUGUUUAUGUAUUUAUCAUAUGUAUCAUGCAUUUCAUGUCAAUAGCCAUCAGAGGAACUUAGAUGUUACAGGUUGUAUAUUCUCUAUUCUUUCGUACAUUACUGUUUGUAUUUAUGGUUCCCUGCCUUACAUACUUAGUACUUUAUUCAUACUGCAUACUUUUAUUUGUGGACACUGCAUGUUGUGAUGCAGGUCUUGAUAGACAGGCAGGUGCAGCUCCCCCACCACAGUAGGCUGUCCAAUUCUGUGGCGAUUGGCGAGAUCCCUUCUCCAGACUUGACGUGGUCUUUGUAUGUAUUUUUAUUAUGAACAUUAUGGGUAUGUUGGGGCCCUAUUCCGGCUAUGUUGCAGCAUUUAUGUUCCUUUGGAGGCUCAUAGACAUGGGUUGACUAAUGUACAAAUGGUAUGCCUUGUUGGGUAGCUUUUGUUGUAUAGUAUUUCAUGGUAGCGUGGUAGCUCGUACCUUAUGUAUAGUUUCUUGAUUGAUUGGACAUCACAUGUGUUGGAAUGUUCAUGCCAUCAUAUUUUAUAGUUGGUUGUCCAUGAUCCCCGUCUACCAUUUAUAUUGAUUUCAUCAGCCCUAGAAGAUAAUAAAGAAGGCUAGAUAAAAUGUACGUUGGUGCUUGGCAAGUAUGGUUGGGUGCUAGUCAUGGCCCUCCAGUUUGGGUCGUGGCAACUACCCUUUAGGAGCCCUGUUUUUACCACCUUUUUUUUUACUGCUCUAUCGGAAGCACAUGGCUUGGGUCAUUUUACAGUUGAGCUUAGUGAUUCUUGGGCUUUCAUACCCAAUCCGGGUUUUAAAACAAGAUCAAACAAAAUCAGAAAAACCAAAGUUAAGAAACAGACCUCUUUCAGAAAAUAUUUAGCAAACAAGAUUAAACUAAUUGACAAACUAACAAUCAACUAAUAAACCUAUUAUGUCCUAGUAAACCUAACUAAUCCAAGAAAGAAAAGAGGAGAAGAAGAGAAAAUGAAGGAUAUAUAAAAAGAAUUCAGUAGAGAAAAAAAUGAAGAAAGAAGGAGGCUAUACCAAUAGAGACGAACAUCUCAACGAACAAUAAAAGGGAGGUGACAGGUUCACUUGAGACUCCGAGGGGUGCCAAAACUCGACCAAAUGGUUGGAAUUAUCACAUAAGUGUUAACUGAAUUUUCAUCUAUGGUUUAUGACUCAUGCAUCACUUCUUACCAUUUGCCCAGAUGAAAAUAAAACAAGAGCUUGAAGAGAUGGGAACGUUCAAAGCUAUUCGUCCAAAGAUCUGAUCCCCAGCCAUGGAACAUGGGUUCUUGAUGUUCAAACAGACUUCCUUUGUUGGCAAACUAAGGAAUUUUUGCCAAUUUACUAUGACAUGAUAGUUUAAUCCGAAAAUUGUGGGAAAAGAGAUGAAAGUUUUGAUUUUUAUUUCUUGGAUCUACAAUUCCAUGAGAUUGGAUAGUCUUUACAAGUAAUCGGUUGUUGGACAUCAAAAAGGGGAUGAUGAGGGUUGGCUGGUUAAAAUUUAGAGAUGUUUGGAGGUGCUCCACCGCCAUGACACGACUUCCAAGUAGCGGAGAGACGGCAGAGGCAGACAAAAAUUUCAGAGAAAGUGGAAUUAGGGGCGAUUUUGGACAUCUAAUGAUGCAGAAAGAAUGAAACGACAAGUUUAGAAUUGUAACUACGUUGUUUUUGCUAAAGCGGACCAGA
rnacentral:lncRNA from 1 species